CAGCCGCCACGGUAAUACGUAGGUGGCAAGCGUUGUCCGGAAUUAUUGGGCGUAAAGGGCUCGCAGGCGGCUUCUUAAGUCUGAUGUGAAAGCCCCCGGCUCAACCGGGGAGGGUCAUUGGAAACUGGGAAACUUGAGUGCAGAAGAGGAGAGUGGAAUUCCACGUGUAGCGGUGAAAUGCGUAGAGAUGUGGAGGAACACCAGUGGCGAAGGCGACUCUCUGGUCUGUAACUGACGCUGAGGAGCGAAAGCGUGGGGAGCGAACAGGAUUAGAUACCCCAGUAGUCCCUGUCUCUUAUAC
rnacentral:rRNA from 1 species